CUCAAGAACUGCAUUUCAAAUGUAAAGAAGUGUGAAUUUUGAAGGAUACCUGUUUCGUUUCACACAUUAUUUUGGAAAGUGUAAAUUGGAUCUUGUGUGAUGGAUGUGAGAAAGAAAAAAAAAACGUGAAAGACAGGGCUGGGGAACCUGUCACCCUCCAGAUGUUAUUUGGUUUCCAACUCCUAUCAGCCCCAGCCAGCACAGACAAUGAGUUUGGAGGAAUGAAGAAGGAAGUAUUUACAGCCACUGCAGUUCAAGUAAAUACCAUAGCACUCACUUCACUGCAAUGAGAGAAGGUUAAUGGCAACAUCAAGAUUUCUCCUUUCACAUUGGUUGAAAAAAGAAUGAAUUUUCCCUGCAGUAGCUGGGGGGGGGGAAGAAAAGAAAAAGAAAGGUUAUGAUAGAUCCUGAUAGCUUGGCCAAGAGGACCCUGCCUCAUGGGAGAAUAAAAGUCUGCACAUGAGGCUAUGCCCAAACCACAAGACUAUGAAUGGAACACUGAAAAUUGGAAGUGCACACCAAGAGGUUUAAUGAGGAUCAAGCACCCCCAUCUCUUGAUAUAUUCAAGUAUGCAUUGGAGACCUUAGCAUCAUAUCAUGAAGGUGAUGAAAUAGAGAAACACACUAAGAAAAGACAGACUACAGCUGGGGUCACUAACAUGCUGCCUGGAAUCACAGUGGUGCCCUUCAGAUCUUUCCCUGAUGUCCAUGAAGAAGCUAGAAUCAAGGACGCCUGCUGAAUCUCUACUGCAAAAGUAUUCCACAGCAUGGGACUGGUGACACUAAAUGCUUUUAUUCUACUUGAAGCCAGUUGGGCUUCUGAAACACAGAGGACAACUAACAGCAUUUCAUCAGAUUAUCUCAGUGACUG